UGCUGAAGCUGGCCUUGAACUUGUGAUCCUCCUGCCUCAGCUCCCAAGUUACUGGGAUUUCAGCUGUGUGCUACCACAUCAGCCUCUUUUAUUCUCUUUACACUAGCUUUUGAUGAAGUUCUUAAUUUUUUUUUAUUUUUAAAAAAAUGUUAUUUUAGUCAUUGAUGGACCUUUAUUUAAUGUAUGUGGUGCUGAGAAUUGAACCCAGGGCCUCACACAUGCCAGGCAAGCGCUAUAUCAUGAGCAACAAAUCCAGCCCCAAGUUCUUAAUUUUCAAAAAUAAAAUUUUCAUAAAUGAGGUGCUGAGGAUCGAACCCAGCACCUUGCAGGCUCUAGGCGAGUGCUCUACUGCUAAGCCACAAUCCCAGCCCAAGUUUCCAUUCUCUUGAAGCAGACCAGGUACCCCAACCCAAAACACCCUUGCCAUAAUUAAGCUUCUUCUCUUGUCAGGUCAGCAGACCAUCUGCAGAGGUUAUUAGGGUUGAAGUUUCGUCUUUCUUGUACAUGCCAGGUUUGUACACAAAAGUACUGGAAAUGAACCCAGGGAUUUGCAAAUGCUAUAGGGGGCCGAAGGAUCCUUUGACCUGAUGCAGUCCAAGACCAAGAAGGAAGGCCUGGAAACUCCCUGGAGAAUGGCUGAUGAGAGUUCACACUGAAGAAAGUAUAGGGUCAUUGUCCUCCAGUGAGGACCCAGAGACCUUGGCCCCAUUUCUAUUUGCACUAUUGAGACAGACGCACUUGGAUCUGCAAUGCCUCUUUAUCAAACAAACACACCAGUCAGGCUGCAUGAAACUUCCCUGGUCUGCCUCCAUGUCCUUCCUU